rnacentral:rRNA from 1 species
GAUGAACGCUGGCGGCGUGCCUAAUACAUGCAAGUCGAGCGAAUGGAUUAAGAGCCUGCUCCGGUGGAUUAGUGGCGAACGGGUGAGUAACACGUGAGUAACCUGCCCUUGACUCUGGGAUAACUGCGGGAAACUGUAGCUAAUACCGGAUACGACCCUCGGAGGCAUCUCCAGGGGGUGGAAAGAAUUUCGGUCAAGGAUGGACUCGCGGCCUAUCAGCUAGUUGGUGAGGUAACGGCUCACCAAGGCGACGACGGGUAGCCGGCCUGGGGGGGUGACCGGCCACACUGGGACUGAGACACGGCCCAGACUCCUACGGGAGGCAGCAGUGGGGAAUAUUGCACAAUGGGCGCAAGCCUGAUGCAGCAACGCCGCGUGAGGGAUGACGGCCUUCGGGUUGUAAACCUCUUUUAGUAGGGAAGAAGCGAAAGUGACGGUACCUGCAGAAAAAGCACCGGCUAACUACGUGCCAGCCGCCGCUGUAA